UGCACUGAGCGCGCCUAAUUUUGAAUGUGCAUCUGAAGCUCGUCUCUGAUUGGAUAAUGACGUGAGGGCGGGAGGAGAAGAGCGCCUAGUUCACGACUAUAGCUAACGAGCCAGCACGAGAGAGAAGACGGGAGAAGAAAACAUCGAACUUUCAGCAACUACGUUGUUAGGACAAAUUACAAACAUACGAUUUCAAGUGUUUUUUGAGGAUCUGUGUUUGUUCGUCAGAAAGUCUGCACGCUACUCAGCUACUUUGAAGAGAAGGAGGAGUCCAUGCUUCUCUGUGUUGAAGAUACAUGUCUGGCAGAUGAGGUACAACUGGAGCAAGUGCCUCUGACACCCACUAUUAUCAUGUGUGGACAGUCCUGCUAUUCCUCAAGAAGAUACAUGCUGAGUGUUGAUCGGCACCUCGUCAGCACAAACAUAUCCUCCUUCAUUUCUGCACUGU